GCCUGGGAAGGCACUGCAGAGCCGUUCUGCUGUAGGGAGUGCUAUCCCUUUAAGCAGCAGCCGAGGCUAAGUGAGCUGCUAUGUCAUGUGUAGGUGCCGUCACCGUGGCCGUGCCUGGGAACCAGGAAGCAACUACACCAUCUAGUGUCACAACCAUUGCAAGCGGGGAAAUAAAGCGCCUAACGCGAGAGGCUGAUUCCAUUUGGAAGCAGUUUGCUGGGGUGUUGGCAGCGAAGUGUUUCAGCCCCUGUCUUCUGGGAUGGCUCUCUCCUGCUCACUGAGACUGAUACGCCUACACGCUUGCUGGCCGGUGAGUCUGAAACAGGCAUCUUUGAGCACUGCACCAGAUGAGGACUGCAGACAGGUGGCUGGGAGGAAUGAAGCAACGAGGAAAAGGUGGACGAAGGAGAAAAAGCCUAGACAGGACCGCAGCUUCCCAGGCCUGGAGUCCUCCUGGGAAGAGAGACUAACCAAUGUGGCAACUCCAUUGUGGAGAUUCCCCUAUGAAGAACAGCUGAAGGUGAAGUCUGAGAGUCAAAAGAAGGUGUUGCAGACACUGGCUUCUCAUCUGUGGGAGCUUGGUACAGACAAACUGGAAAUCACACAAAGGCCAGAUGGACUUUGCUGUCCCCUCCGUUCUAUUGUCCCCUCUCCCGUCGUUAAUGGCUACCGAAACAAAUCCACAUUUUCUGUGAACCGAGGACCUGAUGGGAACCCCAAAACUGUGGGACUCUAUGUGGGAACUGGCAGAGCAAGGAAUAUUGUCUGUGUGCGAGCCAACCACCUGGAAAACAUGCCCGAAAAACACAAACAAGUGGCCCAGUGCUAUGAGGAAUUUCUUCAGCAGUCCCCACUGGAUCCCUGCCUCCUGUUUCACCAGGGUGGCCACUGGCGCGAGCUCACAGUACGCACCAAUAGCACUGGAGACAUCAUGGCCAUCAUCACCUUCCACCCCCAGGAUCUCAGUCAGGAGGAACUGUGUACUCAGAAAGCAUUGCUUAAGGAGUUUUUCACUUGUGGGCCUGGAGCAGUCUGCAACCUGACAUCAUUAUAUUUCCAAGAGAGCAUCAUGACUCGAAGUUCCCACCAGCAAUCCCCCUAUCAGCUUCUUUGUGGAGAACCAUACAUCUUUGAGGAGGUCCUGGGCUUGAAGUUCCGCAUCUCUCCAGAUGCCUUUUUCCAAAUCAACACAGCUGGGGCAGAAGUUCUGUACCAGACAGUGAGGAAGUUAAGCCGGGUUGAUAAGAACACUGUCCUUCUUGACAUCUGCUGUGGAACUGGUGCCAUUGGUCUCUCUCUGGCUCACCAAGCAUCUAAGGUUGUUGGUGUCGAGGUAGUGGAGCAGGCUGUAGAGGAUGCCAGAUGGAAUGCAGCAUUCAAUGGGAUCUCAAACUGUGAAUUUCACAGUGGAAAGGCAGAGACGGUGUUGCCGCAGUUCCUGAUGUCGCGAGAGGAUGACUGGCUCUUUGUUGCAGUGGUAAACCCAUCCCGGGCUGGACUCCAUUAUCAUGUGGUGCGGGCCAUUCGAAACUGCGAGGCCAUCCGUACGUUGAUCUAUGUUUCCUGCAAGCCUGAAGGAGAAGCCAUGAGGAACUUCCUUGAGUUUUGCUGCCCACCAGACUCUGGGAAGAAACUUGUAGGAGAGCCAUUUGCCCCUCUAUUGGCUGUCCCAGUUGACAUGUUUCCCCACACCAUGCACUGUGAGCUGGUGAUGCUCUUCACCCGCUGAGGGGCCAUCCUGGUUUAUGUGUUUUCCUACAAAACAGGACUUCAUACCUUUCAAAGUUGAGGAAACGAGCCUACAAAAGUUACGUCCGGGCCCUUCCCAUAUUGAAGAAGAUGGGAGUCAGCUCAAUCCUUCUCCGCAAGAGCAUUGGUGCCCUGGAG